rnacentral:rRNA from 1 species
UGGGGAAUUUUGCACAAUGGGGGAAACCCUGAUGCAGCGACGCCGCGUGAUUUAGAAGGCCUUCGGGUUGUAAAAAUCUUUUCUAUGGGAAGAAAAUGACAGUACCAUAGGAAUAAGGACCGGCUAAUUACGUGCCAGCAGCCGCGGUAAUACGUAAGGUCCGAGCGUUGUCCGGAAUCAUUGGGCGUAAAGGGUACGUAGGCGGGUAAGCAAGUUAGAAGUGAAAUCCUAUAGCUCAACUAUAGUAAGCUUUUAAAACUGCUCAUCUUGAGGUAUGGAAGGGAAAGUGGAAUUGCUAGUGUAGCGGUGAAAUGCGCAGAUAUUAGGAGGAAUACCGGUGGCGAAGGCGACUUUCUGGACAUAACCUGACGCUGAGGUACGAAAGAGUGGGUAGCAAACAGG